AGAAAGAUGAAGUAUAUUGAAAGAGGAGGAGGGAGACGUCGAGUGACGGUGUUAUUCCCGGGUUUCAAGGCGGCGAUCCUACCGGCUCCGGCACGGGUGUCUUUACCGAAGAAAGACUGAGAGAUUCAACCAAACCACCGAGGGAGGGUAAUGCGGGCUCACCCGAUUGAGAUUAUGAUGGCCACUUCUAUUAUGAUGUCUGGGUGGUCAGAGAGCAAGUCACCCUCACAGCCAUUCUUUUUUUUACUGGAUAUAGGGGACCGGCAAUGAUGUAAAUCUUGAGAAACACCCCACAAGUGUUCUGCAAAAACAAUGCAUUCAGAUACUUGAGACCGAUGGAGAGAUAAGCAUAUGAAGUGAUGAUGGGAAGAUGGGAGACUAAUGUAUAAAACUGAGCAUGACUCUGUCUGACCAAUUCAACAGAGGAAUACAAGUCGGUUUUUGUACUUGGCAUGACUCUCCCUCGGGAAUGAAUCUCUCUCGGUCUCCCCUCACCUUUUGUUUUCUCAGGCUAUAGGGCCACACAGUGGACACUAUCUUCCAACAAGACAAAACCUUCUUAAGUUUCUUAGAGGAGCACAAUGUUGAUUGAUCUCACCAAUGUUAAGAGAUGCUCUGUGAAUGAGGAAUAUAAUCCACUGCGGACGAAGAAGAAGGACCAAAAGAAAUCCCAGAAGAAGUUGUCAGAGCAAGAAGAGAGAGAGAAAGAGAGCACAGAAUGCAGUGUUUGAUCCUGUAAAGAGAGACUUGACUUGUAAAUGGACAAGUGGGAUAUGGUCCAAGAAUUGGGUGUGUUAGAGAACGGAGCUACAAGCACAAGCGCGGUGGAGCAAGUCAGCCUCUCUCUCCUCGGGUUUCGCCAGCUAAUCUAGUCUAACCAAUAAGAUCUUCUAGAACUAUGUAAAAUUAUUUUUUACAUAUAUUCCUUUUAUUGUGUCAAGGACACAUUUUUUACUUUCCUUUUUAUUGUAUGUAGAAUUUUUACGUAUCAAGGAAACAUUUUUAGCCCCA